UGUGUUUAACGUCUUGUAAUGGUAUCCAAGUCUUCAAUUAUAAUUUUUAAUUUCAAUUUUUAUGUGUUUCUUUGAGCAGUGUUGCCUUUUUUCAAAAUUUGUGUAGGCUCGGAUGUAAAAACGGAUGUAAAAAUAUAUUAAUAUUAAUAUUAAUAUUAAUUAUAUUAUAUUAAUAUUAAUAUUAAUAUAUUAAUAUAUAUUAGAGGUGAAAUUUUUCGAUCGUCGCAAGAAUGACAGAAGCGAAAGCGUUUGCCAAAAACGCUUUCAUUAAUCAAGAACGAAUGUUAGAGGUUCGAAGGCGGUCAGAUACCGCCCUAGUUCUAACCAUAAACGAUGCCAGCUAGCGAUCCGCCGACGUUCCUCCGACGACUCGUCGAGCAGCUGCCAAAGCUUUUGAGCUACA
rnacentral:ncRNA from 1 species